GACGAACGUUGGCGGCGUGCUUAAUACAUGCAAGUCAUCUGAAGCAGUGGUAGCAAUAUCGCUGUGGAGGUGGCGCACGGGUGAGUAACACGUAGGUAAUCUGCCUUCAGGUCUGGCAUAACUCCGGGAAACCGGGGCUAAUAGCAGAUGAUGCAGCGGCUCGACAUCGAGACAGUUGUUAAAGCUAUGGCGCCUGAAGAUGAGCCUGCGUCUGAUUAGCUAGUUGGCGGGGUAACGGCCCACCAAGGCAACGAUCAGUAGCUGGUCUGAGAGGAUGAUCAGCCACACUGGAACUGAGACACGGUCCAGACUCCUACGGGAGGCAGCAGUAAGGAAUAUUGCUCAAUGGGAGAAAUCCUGAAGCAGCAACGCCGCGGGAGGGACGAAGGGCUUUUGCUUGUAAACCUCUGUAGGGAGAGAAAAAAAUCCCAAUCUUUGGGACAUGAUGGUAUCUCAAAAGUAAGCCCCGGCUAACUACGUG
rnacentral:rRNA from 1 species